GGCACAGAUGCUCUCUCUGAGGGCAUCCAUUACCAAAGACUAAGAUAGACUGAGCUUCCUACUUUUCUUUCUUCCAAGCUAAAGCCUAUGUUCUUCUAAACAUAUGAGGUCGUUUUUUCCCCAAGGUUUAAAUGACUACCUUAUGUGGCUCUUCUAAGCCAGCAAAAGUGGAAGAAGGGAUGAGAGAAUUCCGGCAUCGCUACCUGAGCAUUGCACCCCUUCUCUUUGGAUACAUGGUGGACUUGACCAUGUGGUGGAGUCAUUUCCAGCCUGUUACAACCAGCCAACAUGCAUCAGAAUCCUCAGAGGGGGAAGAGGAGGACAACUCAGGAGUAACAGCAGCAGACCCAGAGGGAAGAACAGAC